rnacentral:rRNA from 1 species
CACGUAGGGGGCAAGCGUUGUCCGGAAUUAUUGGGCGUAAAGAGCUCGUAGGCGGCUCGGUAAGUCGGGUGUGAAAUUCCAGGGCUCAACCCUGGAACGCCACUCGAUACUGCUGUGGCUAGAGUCCGGUAGGGGAGCGUGGAAUUCCUAGUGUAGCGGUGAAAUGCGCAGAUAUUAGGAGGAACACCAGCGGCGAAGGCGGCGCUCUGGGCCGGAACUGACGCUGAGGAGCGAAAGCAUGGGGAGCAAACAGG